rnacentral:lncRNA from 1 species
CGGCCGCCUGCCUCCCUGAGCGUCACCACACAGAUGGAGCUGUACGUCAAGACUGGGUGUGCCUCCAGGUUUCAACUCCAUUGUGAUACUCCAGACCCACGCUAAAACAUGUGCCCUGUCACAAUGCUGUGGUACCCGGCCGCAGCAGGACUUGCAUAUGUCCCUUAAGUCAUUAUGCCGAUGUGAGUUAGAAUUUCCAAAAAGAAAGGGAGGACACAGGGCACUCCUACACUGCCCCGCCUGCAGAAGUCUAGCUCUGACUCGAUUUCUGUUUCCAGACACGCUCCUACAACAAGCAGAUGCGACCUGCCAUUCUAGAUCACUGUUCUGGAAACAAAUGGACAAACACGUCUCACCAGCCUGAGUAUUUGGUAGGAGAGGAGGCUUUGUACGUCAACCCCCUGGACUGUUACAACAUUCACUGGCCUAUCAGAAGGGGUCAGUUGAAUAUCCACCCGGGUCCUGGAGGCUCCCUAACAGCUGUUCUGGCGGAUAUUGAAGUGAUAUGGUCUCACGCGAUACAGAAGUAUUUG